rnacentral:lncRNA from 1 species
GGGUCCCACUCCAUCACUCAGGAUGGAGUGCAGUAGCAUGAUCUCGGCUCACUGCAACCUCUGCCUCCCAGGUUCAAGGGAUUCUCAUGCCUCAGUCUCCUAAAUAGCUGGGAUUACAGGCAUGCACCCCAUACCAGCUAAUUUUUGUAUAUAUAUAUAAAUUUUUUUUUAAGUAGAGACAGGGUUUCACAAUGUUGCCCAGUCUGGUCUCGAACUCCUGGCCUCAAAUUAUCCAACUGCCUUGGCCUCCCUAAGUGUUGGGAUUACAAGAGUGAGCCACUGAGCCCGGCCCCACUUUGUACAUGAACCAGAAGAGCAGUCACUCUGAAAGACACCUAAGUCAUAGCCACAUCUCUAGGGAAUUUUCAACACGAAACUCUCUAUAGAAGGCAAGUUGGAAAGCUAGCUUGGCAGGUGUAUUGUCAAAAAUUAUUGAACCGCUAAAUGGAGAUGGUUACCAGCACAUUACAGAAGACUCAAUGUACAACGUAUGGCUUCAUGUUGGUCCAAAAUUCUAACUAUAUCAGUCAAGAAAAGGAUGAAAUCUCAAGUAUGGAUGUGACACUUUAUACCUGCCAUACAUAGAAUGUUCAAUCCGUAUGACCUUACUUGAUGUAGAAUUAAAGGAAAAGUUACCAAGAAUGAGAUCUGAGAGCUUAGCAAGUCCUCCUAAGCUAUAGCCAUGAUAACUCAUCAUACAAGGAAAAUAAGUGAAUUCAAAGAACCAAAAGCAGCUGCCAUUAGAUUACAGGGAACUUUCAAACAAAAGAUAUAUCAUAGGAAGUCAGGUGAGAAGCUGUCAACUGGGCAGGCAGUGAUGAGAAUCGUAGUUGUCUUACUGUACUUUUUUGUUUUGUUCAAAAAACCUAAAGCAUCACGCAUUUUGAAAGCAGAGUUUGCAGAGAGCCCCCAACAGAGCCAGAACUUGCCAAGAGCGACUGAUAUUUCUAGAAUCUGGCUCUUAAAAUAAUAAGGCUGGAGGAGACAUGAACACCAUGGGAAAGUGUAUUCAGCCCCACUCCUAUGUGAAUGUAGCUUCAGAGCAAGUUACCUUCAACGAGGAGCAGCACAUCCUGUAAACAGAUACCGUGUCUCUUGGGUACUUACGUGCAAAUAGACAUAUCAGCUUUUCCCUAAUGCAGGCAGUCUCUUGGGGAUAGUUUUGUAACAUGUAAAAAUAGAUAUAAUUUGAAACCAUAGUCCUAAAAGUAAGGUAUUUUAGUUGCAGGAGGAGAAGAGAGAAGACAAAAGUAACCUAUUGCAAGUGGCUGUACGUUCCAUAGAAGUAGUUGUAUACCUCAGUGUUUCCCACUGAAAGUAGCUGUAACAAUUCAUGCUUUAAUUCAUUAAUCGAUAAUUUAAUCUCUGGCUCUGGAAAGUGGAAAAAGUCUGUGAAAGCUGGUCCUACUUAAAUGGAGAUUUGGAGUUUUCGUUUGUCCCGGAUUAGUCAAGAUACAAGUAGAAAUCCUUACACCUGCCAAUACCCACAAAGGCAUCUAUGUUUUCACACAGGCCCCUCUAAUUACAUAUCAGCAGUUAAGAGGUUUCUCCCCUUUCUAGCCACUUCUAAGAUGCUAAUGAUCCUGGGAGUUUUAGCCUUUUGUUGCCUGCUGCUGCGGUGUUUGAACCAUUCCAGUAAGCCAGCAACUUUGCAGGGACAAGGACAGAGCAUGCAAAGCAUGGAGGGAAAGUAGGAGUGUUUGUACCAUGAGUCUCUGCACACCCCUCAUCUUGGCUAUAGUAGACUGGACCACAGAUGGACACUGUACCAUGCAGAUUACUUCUUCCAGGAACUUGGAUUGAGACCAAGAGACUCAUGGCAUCCUCUUCUGGCUGCAAGACUUAUAUUUUUAUAUUUAGGCAAUAGAAGAGGGGCAGCAGAUGCCUACCUUGUGGAACAGAGGAAGGCAGGCAGUUCACAGAGAAAGAGGACUAGACAGUCGGACAGAGGGGAGCAGGCUUGGGAGCUUCGUGGAGCCAAUGUCCAUCUCUGUCCUUCCUUUCCACUCGAUGCUCCUGAGUCCCUGCCUUCAACCCCCGCUUGUUUGCUUAAACUGGUUUGAGUUUGUUUCUGCUGUUUGAAAAACAACAACAACAAAACCCCAAACAAAACAAACAUCAAACAAAAACCAAAACAAAACCAUUAACUCACUCAUCCCUGUGAUUGUAUUUUGAGAAAUAAAGGUGAUUUCCUUCAGAAAACAAA